rnacentral:rRNA from 1 species
GCUCAACCGAGGAAGUGCUUCGAAAACUGGUAAACUUGAGUGCAGAAGAGGAAAGUGGAACUCCAUGUGUAGCGGUGGAAUGCGUAGAUAUAUGGAAGAACACCAGUGGCGAAGGCGGCUUUCUGGUCUGUAACUGACGCUGAGAUUCGAAAGCAUGGGUAGCAAACAGGAUUAGAUACCCUGGUAGUCCAUGCCGUAAACGAUGAGUGCUAAGUGUUGGAGGGUUUCCGCCCUUCAGUGCUGCAGCUAACGCAUUAAGCACUCCGCCUGGGGAGUACGAUCGCAAGAUUGAAACUCAAAGGAAUUGACGGGGGCCCGCACAAGCGGUGGAGCAUGUGGUUUAUUUCGAAGCAACGCGAAGAACCUUACCAGGUCUUGACAUACCAUGAAAAGCUAAGAGAUUAGUCUUUCCCUUCGGGGACAUGGAUACAGGUGGUGCAUGGUUGUCGUCAGCUCGUGUCGUGAGAUGUUGGGUUAAGUCCCGCAACGAGCGCAACCCUUAUUAUCAGUUGCCAGCAUUCAAUUGGGCACUCUGGUGAGACUGCCGGUGACAAACCGGAGGAAGGUGGGGACGACGUCAAAUCAUCAUGCCCCUUAUGACCUGGGCUACACACGUGCUACAAUGGUCGGUACAACG